rnacentral:lncRNA from 1 species
CUUUGUAGAGGGGACCAAGUGUGGUUCCUCCGCAUGCCGUACGGCAUCUCCACUGGCAGUGAGGUCUUCCAGAGAUCGAUGGAGCAUCUGUUUGCUGGGCAGCCAUGUAAGAUAGUGGACGACAUCCUGGUGUGGGGGACACACACUGGAUGAACACGAUGAGCGCCUCAAACAGGUCCUCAACAGGAUUAGGGCUGUCAACGUGAAGCUGAAUCCAGAGAAGUGCAGAUUCAGGCUCCAUAACAUUCCCUACGUCGGGCAACUUCUCACAGCCAACAGAGUGAAACCUGACCUGGAAAAGACAGGCCAUCAUGCAGAUGCCCAAGCCAGCAGAAAAGCAGACACUGCAGCACUUUCUGGGUCUGACUAACUAUCUAAGUUCACGCCACAAUACAGUGAGGUGAUGGGGCUCCUCUAUCAGGAUACUGAAUGAUGCUGUAAGGAGCAACAUGACACUGCCCUGACCAAACUGAAAGAGUUGCUGUCGAAGUACUGGAGCACCGGUUAGCUAUGAUGUGGGCAAACCAGUGAUGAUAUCUGCAGAUGCAUCCCAGCAUGGUCUCGGAGAAAUAUGUCUACAAAUAAAAUUGUAUUUGUCACAUGCUUCGUAAACAACAGUGGAAUGCUUACUUAUGGGCCCUUCCCAACAAUGCAGAGAGAAAAAUAUAGAAAAAGAAUAACACAAGGAACAAAUACACAAUGAAUAACAAUAACUUGGCUGUAUGCAGAGGGUACCAGUACCGAGUUGAUGUGCAGGGGUAAGAGGUACAGUUGAAGUCGGAAGUUUACAUACAACUCAGCCAAAUACAUUUAAACUCAGUUUUUCACAAUUCCUGACAUUUAAUCCUAUUAAAAUUCCCUGUCUUAGGUCAGUUAGAUCACCAGUUUAUUUUAAGAAUGUGAAAUGUCAGGAUAAUAGUAGAGAGAAUGAUUUAUUUCAGCUUUUAAUUCUUUCAUCACAUUCCCCCUGGAUCAGAAGUUUACAUACACUUAGUAUUUGGUAGCAUUGCCUUUAAAUUGUUUAACUUGGGUCAAACGUUCAGGUAGCCUUCCACAAGCUUUCCACAAUAAGUUUUGGUGAAUUUUGGCCCAUUCCUCCUGACAGAGCUGGUGUAACUGAGUCAGGUUUGUAGGCCUCCUUGCUCACACACGCUUUAUCAGUUCUGCCCACACAUUUUCUAUAGGAUUGAGGUCAAGGCUUGUGAUGGCCACUCCAAUACCUUGACUUUGUUGUCCUUAAGCCAUUUUGCCACAACUUUGGAAGUAUGGUUUGGGUCAUUGUCCAUUUGGAAGACCCAUUUGCGACCAAGCUUUAACUUCCUGACUGAUGUCUUGAGAUGUAGCUUCAAUAUAUCCACAUAAUUUUCCUUCCUCGUGUUGCCAUCUAUUUUGUGAAGAAGCACCAGUCCCUCCUGCAGCAAAGCACCCCCAGAGCAUGAUGCUGCCACCCCCAUGCUACACGGUUGGGAUGGUGUUCUUCGGCUUGCAAGCCUCCCCCUUUUUCCUCCAAACAUAACGAUGGUCAUUAUGGCCAAACAGUUGAAUUUUUGUUUCAUCAGACCAGAGGACAUUUCUCCAAAAAGUACGAUCUUUGUGCCCAUGUGCAGUUGCAAACCGUAGUCUGGCUUUUUUAUUGCAGUUUUGGAGCAGUGGCUUCUUCCUUGCUGAGCGGCCUUUCAGGUUAUGUCGAUAUAGGACUCGUUUUACUGUGGAUAUAGAUACUUUUGUACAGCAUGUUCACAAGGUCAUUUGCUGUUGUUCUGGAAUUGAUUUGCACUUUUCGCACCAAAGUACGUUCAUCUCUAGGAGACAGAAUGUGUCUCAUUCCAUGAGCGGUAUGACUGCUGCAUGGUCCCAUGGUGUUUAUACUUGCAUACUAUUGUUUGUACAGAUGAACGUGGUACCUUCAGGCAUUUGGAAUUUGCUCCCAAGGAUGAACCAGACUUGUGGAGGUCUACACUUUUUUUCUGAGGUCUUGGCUGAUAAUUUUUUUCCCCCCAUGAUAUCA